UACGUAUGGGGCUAGCGUUGUUCGGAUUUACUGGGUGUAAAGGGCGCGUAGGUGGUUUGGUAAGUUUGAUGUCAAAAGUCAAGGCUCAACUUUGAUCUUGCAUUGAAUACUGCCAUUCUAGAGUUCGGAAGGGGAAAGCGGAAUUCUUGGUGUAGGGGUAAAAUCUGUAGAUAUCAGGAAGAACACCGAUGGCGAAGGCAGCUUUCUGGUCCGCAACUGACACUGAGGCGCGAAAGCCAGGGGAGCGAACGGG
rnacentral:rRNA from 1 species